rnacentral:rRNA from 1 species
UACGUAGGUGGCAAGCGUUUGUCCGGAUUUAUUGGGCGUAAAAGCGCGCGCAGGCGGUCCUUUAAGUCUGAUGUGAAAUCUUGCGGCUCAACCGCAAGCGGUCAUUGGAAACUGGGGGACUUGAGUACAGAAGAGGAAAGCGGAAUUCCACGUGUAGCGGUGAAAUGCGUAGAGAUGUGGAGGAACACCAGUGGCGAAGGCGACUUUCUGGGCUGUAACUGACGCUGAGGAGCGAAAGCGUGGGGAGCGAACAGG